GGAGGAGGAGGAGGGUAUCCCAACGGUUGAUCUGGUUUCAGAUGUGGAGGAAAAUAGCGAUGAGGAGCCGACUCUGAGCGAAGCCGACACCGAAAUUUACACACCGCUACAAGCAAACGAUCUGGAUGAAUCUGAAUAUGGAGAAGAAGAAAAUGAGGAGGAGGAGGAAAACGAAGAAGAACA